GUUGUAUGGUUAAGUGACUAAGCGUACACGGUGGAUGCCUUGGCAGUCAGAGGCGAUGAAAGGCGUAAUAACUUGCGAUAAGCCCAGAUUAGGUAGUAAUAACCUUUUGAGUCUGGGAUUCCUGAAUGGGGAAACCCACGUGCAUAAGCACGUAUCCUGUUGUGAAUACAUAGCAGCAGGAGGCAAACCGGGGGAA
rnacentral:rRNA from 1 species